UCGUAUAUAAAAUUUCGACAGCAUCUCCUUUGAAAAUUGCAUAAACGGGGAAGCAACAAAGUAUAAAUAGAUAUCAUGAUAAGAAAACAUAAUCGACAUUAAUAAUCUGCUAGCAAUGGGAAGACAACCAUAACAACAUGAACUAAAUUAACCAGUGCGCACAACUAGUUAGAAACAAACAUCCUUUGACAAGAAGCUUCUAAUUAGAUCAUGACUGCGCCUAAGCAGCGUUAUUAUGAGAGUGAAGGUGGAUGUGCUGCUACUUCCCACUUCCCUAGAUGAGCAACAAGCACCUGCAUUGAGUAAUGCAAGAGUGAGAUGAAACAUCUCAGCAAGCGAAUUGUUUUGACGAGAUAUUUAAACCACAAAUUGAAUUAAUCAACAUUUUAAAAGAAUCACAAUUAAGAUCAGAAAUACUUGUAGAUAUAGAACUCAGUAGUCCCAAUAUAACCAAUACCAUCUCAUUUCCUCGAACAACCACAAUAGGUUCUAUAACACUUCCCUGCGUCAACAAAACCUGCAAAUAUCACUUCAAUGUAUGCACAGGAGUGCAAAGUGUAGGUACUCUGUCUUCAUACCUCUGAGGGUAUAAAACCACAUCAGCUGCAAAUAUCACUUCAAUGAAUGCAUAUGAAUGCAAUGCAUAUGUCCUCUGCCUUCAUACCUCUAAGGGUAUGAAGCCGCAUCGUACCCCUCCUCGGGCAACGUACGAUGCUAAGUUGUACCGGUACGGUCGGACCAUAGGUCACGACCCAACUUCAUAUGCAAGUGAAUCAUGCAAUGUAUAUGGCGUGCUGCAUUUAUCAAUAUACUUCACUUCCUUCACAUACAAUACAACCUCAAAUAAUACUUCAUUUACCUUCAUAUACAAUACCAACCUCAAAUAAUACUUCAUUUACCUUCAGAUACAAUACCAACCUCAAAUAAUACUUCAUUUACCUUCAGGGGUGUGAAUUAAUCUCAUGAGUCAUACUCGAAUCAUAAUCAUCAUCAAUAUAUGAUUGAGCAUCAGUAUAAUGCAAGCAAGUAAAGAAUUACCAUAGAGUCCAAUUAUGAAAUAAUCCAAUACUUCUGAAUAUUAGAGUGUAGGCAAUAGAAAUAACAGGUCAGAACGGAAGCAACCACCGCUACAUUCACUUGCCUUCAUCGAAGAAGAAAAAUGUACUAGGCAUGAUCUGGAGUGUAUCCACCUGCUAGUGGGCAUAAAACUUAGUACAAAUAUUUCACAAACAUUUGCCAACGAUCAACAAAACACUCCUACAUUUGAAACCAAGACCCAGUGGAAAGACUCCCACCCUAAACCACAUGCCAUACAACAGCAACACUGUUUGUUAAUUUUGUAUCUUUAAAAUUAAAACAGUGGUGAUAUCAAAAAAAUACUCUAGGAGUAUCUACACAAAACACUCUACAACUUCGGUAUUUAAUGGAUAAUUAAAUUCUGCCAUCAAUAAGUUCUAAAACAUCUGACAAGAUAACUGACUGAAUCUGUUUUAGACAGCAGCCUAGUUAACUUCAAAAUUCGAUAUCUCCCAAACUACUGAACCAAAAAUUAUGAAAGUCUGCUGACAGUAAGAACUUUUAUCCCUCUACAAAAGUCUCCAUAGUUGGAAGAGCCAAUUCGGCCAUUUACUAGAUGAAACCUACCAGUGAACAGACCCGCUCAUUUUUGUCAGGCAAACAGCAACAGCCACAGUAAAACAAACAUAACUGGAGUUUCAUAAAUCAUAUGAAUGCACUCUUUAACAAUCUGGAAAGCUUAUGAAAUUAUCUACAACUUCUUUUACCAACCCACAUUUUAAUUCUGUUGAUAAAAUUGCCUAACUCUUAAGAGAACAGAUUCUGCACAGAAUUAUGAGACUAAAAAACUGAUAUAAUCAAACUGCAAUAACUUUCUGUUCUGAUGUCCGAUUGAGGUGUUCUUCACGGCCACGGAAAGAUCUACAACUUAUCUACGACUCAUAUAUAGACUUUUUAUUUUUUUGAGGCCACUAAGACCACGGAAAACUGGCAUGAACAGAAACUGUCGAAUCUGCCAUUCUGCAGAAAUUAAAUUCGAGAUCAAAACCUAACCCCACAUCUAAUCCAACCUCUAAUCCUUCAAUCCACAUGAUCCACAACCUCCAAAAGCACAUAAUUAUAGGGAGGAACAAGGAUCUCAUCCUUACCUAGGGUUUCCCCAAGAAAAUCUGCAAGAGAUGGGGGUAGAACAUCUCCUUGAUCCUCUCUUCCUCUUCAAUCCAUCUUGCUCCUCCUCAUCUCGAUCCUUGCUGCGUGGGGGGGAGAUCUAGAGGGAGGAGGAAGCAGUGGAGGGCGGCUGCAAGGGGAAGGGGGAGGGGCGGCCAAGGGUGGGGAAAAGGGGGGGUUGGCGGCCAAGAAAAGGGAAAAAGGGAGGGGGCGACCACUAGGGUUUUGUGGGAGAAAGAAACGACGCCUCAGAUGUCUCCUGACUUUGCAUCCAACGGCCCACAACUCUUUCCCUCAUCCACGCAUCGAAGAUCAACUUUUGGUCAAUAUUUUUUUUGGGAUAUUACACUCUACCCCCCUUAAAAAGAAUUCGUCCUCGAAUUCGACCACUCCAAGCAAAACACUCAAGGUACCCCAUAUAGCACCACCAUUCGAAACAUGGGUCCAUUAUUGUUCUUAAUUAACACAAGAACUUCUACCUUGGACUAAUUGUCUAUGGAAACUACACAACCUGACAUCAAGCAUGAACCAACAUGUAAUGAAGCUCAAAUCAAGUCAUAGAUGCAAUCAACACUACGAUUUCACAACAUCGAAUUUGGAUGCAGCCAUACAUCAGCAUCAAUGUCUUAAAACGACACUCUUUUAUGAAGGGGUAAUAUGCACUAAGCACAACCUUUACCAACUUCAACAAUUCAUUUUAAGUCAAUGGUGAAACAUCCACACUAGAUGAAUGUAUAAGAAGAUCAAACACCUCACCUCACAGCACCACAAAUCAAGUAGUUCUAUUGAAACAAAACUCCUAAUCUUCCUAAACCUUGUUCUUGCCAUAAUGAAAAGAUAAUCAUGUAAUCUAACAUACUUUGGACCCCACCAAAAGGGAGAAAAUCUACAGAACUAAUGGAGCAAUAAAGCCGACAAGAAGCCAAUAAAAUCUUGCGCGGCACAAUUCAUCGAAGAAAUGCCAAAAACUCUACAUAGAGCACUGGCAGCCCAACAACAACACAAUACUUGCUUAACCCAUGUCACUAUACUUCAUUCAGAAUCUCAACUAAGAAAAAUAUCCAACUAGUAAGGUUAACCUACACAUAAUAUAAGUCUUCAUCUAUUGUAGUUCAGAAACUUACAUUUGAUUCUAUCAUAUGAUGCACUCAAAGUACCAGACCUAAAGGGUCAAUACUAACCCCAUAAUCCUUCACACAAUUGGCAAACAUCUCAAGCUGAUGUAAAAACCACAUCAUUUAGGAAUAGGUGACUAACCACACACAACCAACUCUAGGCUAGGCAAUGACUUCAUUCAAACCAAUAGAUAAGUGGUCCAACAAUGGCUCCACAAACAUGCAUCAGGGAGAGAACCAUCAGAUCCUCAACGUAUUAAUACAUAAUCAAUGGAUCACGAAAAUCAAAGAUUUUAUUCUACAAUUAGCAUGACUAACAUGCAACCACUUUAAACCACACCUAGGCUUUGUGGCUACUAAAACACACGAUAGAAGAGAGACAUGUAAGCCAUUCUGGCUAUGUAAAGACUUCCCCCAAAAUCCAUAUAAAAGAACCAAUAUUCAUUUCUUUCAGAACUGGUUUCUCGACAUAAACAAUCAUUCUUUGCAAAGAUAGUUGGAGCUAUCCACCAACCACUCAACAAUUUAAAUUCAAAUUGAUGAUUACCUUGUACCCCAAAACACACAAUUCACACUCCUCUUAGAAACAUCCUCAAUCAAGCAUAUAUAACAAUAUUAUUGUAAUAAAACUCAACCAUGAAAAACAUGGUGAAAACAACAUAGGCAUACUUGUAUAUCACAAACAUAGUAACAACUUCAAUCUCACAAAUGACUAGCGAUAUCAAACGCAUUAAUAAAACAAUAUCAAAUUUUCAGAAAUAAAUUAUACCAAGCAUUAAGCCAUAAACAACUUACCACAACACCGUAAAGGAAUCGGGAGGGGUGAAAUUAUUGUCAUCUGCACUUCAAAGUCACUAAUAUAUAUCAAAGAUACUUGAACCCAUACCCUUCCUAUAUGUGCAAGUGUGUCAAAUUUAUCUUCAAAUUGCCAAUAAUCUAAAGCCUAAGCUUUGAUACCAACUGUAACACCCCAGAAUGCUACUAAACUACACUUCUAACAUUCGUAUAUAAAAUUUCGACAGCAUCUCCUUUGAAAAUUGCAUAAACGGGGAAGCAACAAAGUAUAAAUAGAUAUCAUGAUAAGAAAACAUAAUCGACAUUAAUAAUCUGCUAGCAAUGGGAAGACAACCAUAACAACAUGAACUAAAUUAACCAGUGCGCACAACUAGUUAGAAACAAACAUCCUUUGACAAGAAGCUUCUAAUUAGAUCAUGACUGCGCCUAAGCAGCGUUAUUAUGAGAGUGAAGGUGGAUGUGCUGCUACUUCCCACUUCCCUAGAUGAGCAACAAGCACCUGCAUUGAGUAAUGCAAGAGUGAGAUGAAACAUCUCAGCAAGCGAAUUGUUUUGACGAGAUAUUUAAACCACAAAUUGAAUUAAUCAAUAUUUUAAAAGAAUCACAAUUAAGAUCAGAAAUACUUAUAGAUAUAGAACUCAGUAGUCCCAAUAUAACCAAUACCAUCUCAUUUCCUCGAACAACCACAAUAGGUUCUAUAACACUUCCCUGCGUCAACAAAACCUGCAAAUAUCACUUCAAUGUAUGCACAGGAGUGCAAAGUGUAGGUACUCUGUCUUCAUACCUCUGAGGGUAUAAAACCACAUCAUCUGCAAAUAUCACUUCAAUGAAUGCAUAUGAAUGCAAUGCAUAUGUCCUCUGCCUUCAUACCUCUAAGGGUAUGAAGCCGCAUCGUACCCCUCCUCGGGCAACGUACGAUGCUAAGUUGUACCGGUACGGUCGGACCAUAGGUCACGACCCAACUUCAUAUGCAAGUGAAUCAUGCAAUGUAUAUGGCAUGCUGCAUUUAUCAAUAUACUUCACUUCCUUCACAUACAAUACAACCUCAAAUAAUACUUCAUUUACCUUCAUAUACAAUACCAACCUCAAAUAAUACUUCAUUUACCUUCAGAUACAAUACCAACCUCAAAUAAUACUUCAUUUACCUUCAGGGGUGUGAAUUAAUCUCAUGAGUCAUACUCGAAUCAUAAUCAUCAUCAAUAUAUGAUUGAGCAUCAGUAUAAUGCAAGCAAGUAAAGGAUUACCAUAGAGUCCAAUUAUGAAAUAAUCCAAUACUUCUGAAUAUUAGAGUGUAGGCAAUAGAAAUAACAGGUCAGAACGGAAGCAACCACCGCUACAUUCACUUGCCUUCAUCGAAGAAGAAAAAUGUAUUAGGCAUGAUCUGGAGUGUAUCCACCUGCUAGUGGGCAUAAAACUUAGUACAAAUAUUUCACAAACAUUUGCCAACGAUCAACAAAACACUCCUACAUUUGAAACCAAGACCCAGUGGAAAGACUCCCACCCUAAACCACAUGCCAUACAACAGCAACACUGUUUGUUAAUUUUGUAUCUUUAAAAUUAAAACAGUGGUGAUAUCAAAAAAAAUACUCUAGGAGUAUCUACACAAAACACUCUACAACUUCGUUAUUCAAUGGAUAAUUAAAUUCUGCCAUCAAUAAGUUCUAAAACAUCUGACAAGAUAACUGACUGAAUCUGUUUUAGACAGCAGCCUAGUUAACUUCAAAAUUCGAUAUCUCCCAAACUACUGAACCAAAAAUUAUGAAAGUCUGCUGACAGUAAGAACUUUUAUCCCUCUACAAAAGUCUCCAUAGUUGGAAGAGCCAAUUCGGCCAUUUACUAGAUGAAACCUACCAGUGAACAGACCCGCUCAUUUUUGUCAGGCAAACAGCAACAGCCACAGUAAAACAAACAUAACUGGAGUUUCAUAAAUCAUAUGAAUGCACUCUUUAACAAUCUGGAAAGCUUAUGAAAUUAUCUACAACUUCUUUUACCAACCCACAUUUUAAUUCUGUUGAUAAAAUUGCCUAACUCUUAAGAGAACAGAUUCUGCACAGAAUUAUGAGACUAAAAAACUGAUAUAAUCAAACUGCAAUAACUUUCUGUUCUGAUGUCCGAUUGAGGUGUUCUUCGCGGCCACGGAAAGAUCUACAACUUAUCUACGACUCAUAUAUAGACUUUUUAUUUUUUUGAGGCCACUAAGACCACGGAAAACUGGCAUGAACAGAAACUGUCGAAUCUGCCAUUCUGCAGAAAUUAAAUUCGAGAUCAAAACCUAACCCCACAUCUAAUCCAACCUCUAAUCCUUCAAUCCACAUGAUCCACAACCUCCAAAAGCACAUAAUUAUAGGGAGGAACAAGGAUCCCAUCCUUACCUAGGGUUUCCCCAAGAAAAUCUGCAAGAGAUGGGGGUAGAACAUCUCCUUGAUACUCUCUUCCUCUUCAAUCCAUCUUGCUCCUCCUCGUCUCGAUCCUUGCUGCGUGGGGGGGAGAUCUAGAGAGAGGAGGAAGUAGUGGAGGGCGGCUGCAAGGGGAAGGGGGAGGGGCGGCCAAGGGUGG
rnacentral:lncRNA from 1 species